rnacentral:rRNA from 1 species
UGCGGAACAACGUCGGGAAACUGACGCUAAUACCGCAUAAUGACUCCGGUCCAAAGAUUUAUUGCCGAAAGAUCGGCCCGCGUUAGAUUAGGUAGUUGGUGUGGUAAAGGCGCACCAAGCCUACGAUCUAUAGCUGGUCUGAGAGGAUGAUCAGCCACACUGGGACUGAGACACGGUCCAGACUCCUACGGGAGGCAGCAGUGAGGAAUAUUGCGCAAUGGGGGCAACCCUGAUCCAGCCAUGCCGCGUGAGUGAAGAAGGCUUUCGGGUUGUAAAACUCUUUCAGAUGUGAAGAUGAUGACGGUAACAUCAGAAGAAGCUCCGGCUAACUUCGUGCCAGCAGCCGCGGUAAUACGAAGGGGGCGAGCGUUGUUCGGAAUUACUGGGCGUAAAGGGCAUGUAGGCGGACUUUUAAGUCAGAUGUGAAAGCCCAGGGCUCAACCCUGGAACUGCAUUUGAAACUGGAAGUCUAGAGUCCCGGAGAGGUUAGGGGAAUUCCGAGUGUAGCAGUGAAAUGCGCAGAUAUUCGGAGGAACACCAGUGGCGAAGGCGGUCAACUGGACGGGUACUGACGCUGAGGUACGAAAGCGUGGGGAGCAAACAGGAUUAGAUACCCUGGUAGUCCACGCCGUAAACGAUGUGUGCUAGUUGUCGGGAGUCUUGGGCUCUAGUGACGCAGCUAACGCGAUAAGCAUACCGCCUGGGGAGUACGGUCGCAAGAUUAAAACUCAAAGGAAUUGACGGGGACCCGCACAAGCGGUGGAGCAUGUUGUUUAAUUCGACGCAACGCGAAGAACCUUACCUACACUUGACAUACUUGUCGCGGAUUACAGAGAUGUUUUCCUUCAGUUAGGCUGGACAAUGUACAGGUGCUGCAUGGCUGUCGUCAGCUCGUGUCGUGAGAUGUUGGGUUAAGUCCCGCAACGAGCGCAACCCUUAUCGUCUGUUGCCAUCAGGUUAAGGGGAACUCUAAGGAGACUGCCGGUGAUAAGCCGGAGGAAGGCGGGGACGACGUCAAGUCAUCAUGGCCCUUACGUGUAGGGCUACAAACGUGCUACAAUGGCAGUGACAGUGGGCAGCAAAGUCGCGAGGCUAAGCUAAUCUCUAAAAACUGUCUCAGUUCGGAUUGCACUCUGCAACUCGAGUGCAUGAAGUUGGAAUCGCUAGUAAUCGUGGAUCAGCAUGCCACGGUGAAUACGUUCCCGGGUCUUGU